rnacentral:lncRNA from 1 species
CGGAGCCCGCCCCGCCUGACGCGCCCCUGACGCACCGGAGCCCGCGGGGGCGGCGGGACCCGCCCCGGCCCGCAGGACACCCCCUCGGAACGCGGGGCCCACCGGGCUAAGGCAUUUUUAACAGCCUGAGAAAUUAUCUUGUCUUCGCUUUCUUGCCUCUGCUGGUGAGCCAGAGCUGACAGCAGGAAUGGGAAAGAAGCACUCCUCAGAAGUCCUAGCAUCUGAGCCCAGCUUCCACAUCUGAGAGCUUGACUGUCAACACCAACUACCACACUUGGACUGGGGAGUCUCCUGAGCAGAAACAGGCGAAGAUAAGGAUUUUUAACGCAGCUUAUUGCAUUUUACAGUUCAAGCGCACCCUCUUCUGUUGAUUUACAAAAUUGCAGUUUCUUUAAUAACACUUUUGAGGUGGCUGAAGUACAACAUCAAGUCAUUUUUAGUGGAAGAUAGCCACAAUCAAAGAGCACUUCUUCAUACCCCCACUGUUAAGGCUGGCACAACAUUGCAUAUCUAAGAGCAUCACUUCAAAGAAGAAAAUUUGCCAGAUCACAAACAUAUCCCCUCAAACCUUGUUAGACAAUAUUGCCUUAUUUUCUGACAUCACAUUCUGUGAUAGAAUAUGAAGCCAGCCUGGUUUCAAAAAAUUCCAUCAUCGAAUUCUUUUGUUGCUCGUGUAUAAAAAUACAAUUGCCUUUUAAUAUUGAUCUUGUACCCAAUAACCUUGCUAAAUGCGUUUAUUAAUUAUAAUAGCCUAUCUGUUGAUUCUUUUGAAU